GGGGGGACACCAACUACACAGUGGGGCGAACCAUGUGCAGCGCGCGUAGGGGAGAGCGGGGCGGACCAUAUUGAAGGCCCAACGGGGCACCUCGAGGGCUUUGUCACAAGGAAAAGGGAGCAGCCUCACCUCUCUGAUUCACGGGGUCUUUGGCAACAUAGGCGACGUACUCGGCCGUGUCCUGCGGGCGAGACGCCGGCGUGAGACGGGAACGGGGCGCCCGAGAGGCGCCGGAUCGCGGCACGGGGCACGUGUGACCCCCACGUACUCACCGGGUCUCCCCCCGACGCGAAGGAGAUGGACUGCAUGUGGUGGUUGGCGAUGAUCUGCAAGGCAAACCCUCGUUAUCAGCCACCGCGAAAACAACUUGAGGCCACCGAGAGCGGCGUCAAAACCAGGCGACGUUAAUUAAGGUUAAUUAAAUCAGCCUUUUGUAAAAUUGCUUUGUAAGUCCUGUAUCUUGAAACUUCAAUUGAAACUUGUUUUAACUUGUUUUGUAGUGCAUUUGGGUAACAGCGGUAUCUUAUUGUAAAAAGUCA